UAUCUCUGUAGAGUCUGCAUAUCAAUAAGCGGAGGAAAAGAAACUAACUAGGAUUCCCUCAGUAACGGCGAGUGUAAGCGGGAAGAGCUCAAAUUUGAAAUCUUCAAGGUUCUACCUUGACGAAUUGUAAUUUAAAGAAGUGUUUUCUGUUAGGAUGAUUAGGCUAAAAGUUCCUUGGAAUAGGGACAUCAUAGAGGGUGAGAAUCCCGUAUUUGACUUAUUCAUUCUAGCGUUGUGAUACACUUUCAAAGAGUCGGAUUGUUUGGGAAUGCAGUCCAAAAUGGGUGGUAAAUUUCAUCUAAAGCUAAAUAUUGGCGAGAGACCGAUAGCGAACAAGUACCGUGAGGGAAAGAUGAAAAGAACUUUGAAAAGAGAGUUAAACAGUACGUGAAAUUGUCAAAAGGGAAGCGUUUGACACCAGUGUUGUUUUUCCGAAAAUCAAUUACGAAUGGCUUGAUCCUGUGUUGUAUUGACCUUAUCAGCUUUCUGCACUUUUUUCGAGUCUUUCUUAAUGCACUUUUUGGUUAACAAGUCAACAUCAAUUUCUUUUGUUGUAAAAGAGUAUUCGGAAGGUGGCUUUCUUUUCGGAGAAAGUGUUUAUAGCCCUAUACUUCUACAAUCGGAGAGAUUGAGGUCUGCAGCGUAGAUCCUUCGGGGUUAGAUACACUUGUGCUAAGUUGUAGCUUUUCAUAGACAACUUGUUGACUAUGUUUAGUCAUGCGGCUUACUCGCUUGUGCUAUUUUACCUACGCUUAGGAUGUUGAAGAUGUAGCACAUCAU
rnacentral:rRNA from 1 species